AUAAAUUCAUUGACGAGAACAAGUAAGCUAAACCCCUUGUCCCCCAGAGAGUUGGCCCUGCGCUGAAAGCCAACGUUCAAGGAUUAGCCGAACAUCCUCUCCGAGAAGGAAGGCUGAAGCGCUUGAAGUAAGCCGACCCGGGAUCCCGCCGUUACAAGGGACGCGUAUGAUGGUACGCAGUACGAGUGUCGCAGCAGCCAAGCCGGUCAUGGUGGUGCCGCGAAACAAGGGUGGUAGCGCGGGAGUCUAAUCUCGUCCCUUAG
rnacentral:ncRNA from 1 species